CAUCUAUUCCAGACGUGUGGCAGGUUUGAUCCUUUCGAAGGUUGCUUUCUGACCAUCCAUAAGCCAGAAGUCCUUGCGAAAACUCGUAGGGACAAGGUGAGAUAAGCAAUUGCCAGGGGUUCCCUUUGAAACUCGGACGUGCCCAUCAAGUGGUGGGCUCAGGAAUGAGUGGAGGUGCUCAACCGUGUGUGAAGCUCUCCCGUUGGUGGCGGAUGAUUGGUGACAAAUUCCGGGGCCAUUGGUCACGUCUCGAAACACGGGCCAAGGAGCAUAGCAUGUGCGCAAGUCGAAGGGUCCUACAAAACCCGGAGGCGAAGUGAAAGCAAGUUGGUGUGUCCGUUUGAGCUGCUAUCCGGUGGCGAAGGCGGGCAGCCCGGUAGUUGGUGCAAUUCCUGUUUCCCCUCACGGGGAGACGGAUGUAUGUGCUCUCCGGCUUAUACCGAGCUGAUCCGCCGUUAGCAAGCGUCCUCGCGCAACGGAGGCGCAAGCUCCAGGCUCUCCAUCAUCGCUUCUUCGGAAGUGAGUGGGAGCACUGUGGAGCGUGCAUGCUAUGACCCGAAAGAUAGUGAACUAUGCCUGGCGAGGGUGAAGCCCCAGGAAACUGGGGUGGAGGCCCGUAGCCGUUGUGACGUGCAAAUCCAUGGUGUCAGUUGGGCAUAGGGGCGAAAG
rnacentral:rRNA from 1 species